rnacentral:rRNA from 1 species
CCUACGGGCGGCAGCAGUGGGGAAUAUUGCACAAUGGGCGAAAGCCUGAUGCAGCAACGCCGCGUGAGCGAUGAAGGCCUUCGGGUCGUAAAGCCCUGUCCUCAAGGAAGAUAAUGACGGUACUUGAGGAGGAAGCCCCGGCUAACUAAGUGCCAGCAUCCGCGGUAAUACGUAGGGGGCUAGCGUUAUCCGGAAUUACUGGGCGUAAAGGGUGCGUAGGUGGUUUGUUAAGUCAGAGGUGAAAGGCUACGGCUCAACCGUAGUAAGCAUUUGAAACUGGGAAACUUGAGUGCAAGAGAGGUGAGUGGAAUUCGUGGUGUAGCGGUGAAAUGCGUAGAGAUUAGGAGGAACACCAGUUGCGAAGGCGGCUCUCUGGACUGUAACUGACGCUGAGGCACGAAAGCGUGGGGAGCAAACAGGAUUAGAUACCCGGGUAGUC